rnacentral:piRNA from 1 species
GGCACCGUAGGUAAAUGUUUGAUUUUUG